GACGAACGCUGGCGGCGUGCUUAACACAUGCAAGUCGAACGGUGAAGCGCCUUCCUUUUUGGUGGGUGUGGAUGAGUGGCGAACGGGUGAGUAACACGUGAGUAACCUGCCCCCUUCUUCUGGAUAACCGCAUGAAAGUGUGGCUAAUACGGGAUAUUCUGGGUCUGUCGCAUGAUGGGUCUGGGAAAGAUAUUGUUUCGGUGGGGGAUGGGCUCGCGGCCUAUCAGCUUGUUGGUGGGGUGAUGGCCUACCAAGGCGGUGACGGGUAGCCGGCCUGAGAGGGUGGGCGGUCACACUGGGACUGAGCCACCGCCCAGACUCCUACGGGAGGCAGCAGUGGGGAAUAUUGCACAAUGGGAGCAAGGCUGAUGCAGCGCCGCCGCGUGAGGGAUGGAGGCCUUCGGGUUGUGAACCUCUUUCGCCAGUGAAGCAGGCCUGCCUCGUUUGUGGGUGGGUUGACGGUAGCUGGAUAAGAAGCGCCGGCUAACUACGUG
rnacentral:rRNA from 1 species